CUUUGGAUUUUUAAGGGUCAACCAGGAAAAGCUGGCACCCCAGGUCCUCAAGGAACCAAAGGUGGUGCUGGACCAGUUGGUUUGCCAGGAGCAGCUGGACCCAGAGGAGAUGCUGGCCCAGAGGGUUUGGCUGGAGCUGAUGGAAUUCAAGGAGCUGAUGGCAUCAUUGGACCCAGAGGUGACAGAGGAGACUCAGGACAAGAGGGUCUUGCAGGUGGUCAGGGAGCAUCAGGAACCCCAGGACCUGUCGGAACACCUGGAGGUCCAGGACAGAGAGGAGAUCAGGGUGCAAGAGGUCCACCUGGUCCUGAUGGUCAAGCAGGAACCAGAGGGAAAAAAGGACCACAAGGACCAAUGGGAGAUAAAGGUGACAAAGGAGAUGCGGGUGAGAGAGGUCAGAAGGGUCAUCGUGGCUUCACUGGACUCCAUGGGCUUCCUGGAAGUUCAGGUGCUACAGGGGAUGAUGGUGCUAUAGGAAUCAUUGGACCAAGUGGGCAAAGAGGACCCCCUGGCCCUGUUGGUCCAGCAGGAAAAGAAGGAGAUAUGGGUCCACUUGGAGCAGUGGGGGCUCCUGGAUCUCGAGGUGCCACUGGUGAUAUUGG
rnacentral:lncRNA from 1 species